UACGGGGGGGGCAAGCGUUGUUCGGAAUUACUGGGCGUAAAGGGCUCGUAGGCGGCCAACUAAGUCAGACGUGAAAUCCCUCGGCUUAACCGGGGAACGUGCGUCUGAUACUGGAUGGCUUGAGUUCGGGAGAGGGAUGCGGAAUUCCCGAGGUGUAGGAGGUGAAAUUCGUAGAUAUUAGGGAAGAACACCGGUGGCGAAGGCGGCGACCUGGUCCUUGAC
rnacentral:rRNA from 1 species